UGAGCUGCCUAUGGAGAGCAUCGCAUAGCAGGGGACUGCAGGGGGAGGACCCCAGCCCACAGCCAGUGGGAAAGGAACUGAGUGUUGCCAACGCCAACCUGAGCCAGAGAAGAGAUCGCCCUGAGUUGGGUCUCAGGUGGACCUGCAGCCCCAGGCAACACCUUGACUCCAGCCAUGCCGAGGACCUGGCUACGUCAGGCCCAGACUCCUGACUCACAGAAACCACGGCAUAAAGCCGUGUGGACUUGAAGCUGCUAAGUGUGUAUGCGUGUGUGGCAACGUUGGAGUGGUGCAAGAGAUGACCGGCAGAGGCGGCUCACGUCAGUCAUCACUCUCCCUCAUCCACUCUGCCGUGUCAGUGGCCUGCUGAGAACAGGAGUCCCGGGACGGAGCAGCCGAUGCUUGGCCCCAAGAAGAAAAAGAAGGAGAAAACCCAGGAAUCAGACCGCUUCAAAGGAGAAACAAAAGAACCGAAUGUACUCCCUCCUAUGAGGCGCUCCCUUUCCUCAUCCCAGCCUGGCGGAGAAAGGAAGCCUCAGCCCCGGGGUGUGUCCUUUGUCUCUCUCACAGGCCCCAGGACACGGGGCUCUCAGUGGCCUGAAGUUGCAUACCAGGGAGCUGAUGUCCAGAGCAGUGCAGUGUUUGCAUCGAGGGCUCACGGUGAGAAGCAGAGCUUGGGUUUGGCAUGCAAGCCUGUCUGACCCCCGGGCGGUAGCACUCCGCAGUGUAACCGCGAUGGCGUCCUGCAGCCUGAGAUAUUUAGGGCUCAAGGGGCCUCAUGUCCACAGUUUUCUCCGAAGGAGAGGAGAGAGGAAGCGUCCUCGGUGACCUUGGAGGAGUUCCGGUGGAAACUACCUGGACUGGGGUCUCCCUGAGGGUAGGUCUGGACCCCGUUGUCUCGCACAGAGCAGGUGCUUUAUCUAUGUUUGGUAAAUAUUUGAAGGCCAAAGGGAAGGAGGAAGGUAGCCUUUCUCCCUUCUUUCAAAAAGCUUCGAGCACACGGUGACACACGGGCUGGGCGGCGGGAGAGAGCGUCGGUGGAGCCAUCACGGUGAAAGGCGUCUACAGCUUCCACAGGAGGUCCUCUCACCUCUGGACACGAAAGCCACGAAUUCACAUACCACGAAUGUGCUCAGCCAUCUGUGGUAAGAAAUCACGCCACGGCGAGGGUAGAGUUGAACAUGCGGGAAUACCCAGAACCCAGGCCAGUUGACACAGGGGUAAUCAUUGGCCAGUGACUGUCACCUAAAAUGUAGAAACCAAUGAACGUCACUAUUCCCAGUGCCGAAAAUCUCGGGGGGAGAGAAGGAGGAGACGCCGGUCUGGAGUAGAGCCCCCGGAAGACCAAAGCUGGCAUAGUUUGUCUGACUUUGCCCCAGUCUGGUAGCAGGGACUUUGAUUACUGGAUGUGAGCACUGUCAUUGUCUUGGGAGAACUGCUCCCAUCAAAGGAAAAAUUCCCCAGCAUCCUAGCUGGAUUCUUAGGCUGACCUCCAUCCCUGCCUUCUGACACCGCACACACACCAAAGCACUCUGAUGACAAGCCAGCUUUGCACGGAGCGCUCUGUGACUCUGCAGAGAACAGCACGGGGUCACGUUGACAUGCGUUCUUUAGUCUCUGUGACAAUGAAAUCUCUCAUGGGGAACAAGGAGAAUGGAGUUGUGGUUGGGUUUCUGGUCCCUUAUGAGUCAGUUGUGUCUCUGAUUGAGACCAAUCAGCUCAGUCUAGUCUGGUUGAAAUUCUGGACCCAAGAAGUUGGAUUCUAGAACCUCUGUAAAGCGAACCUGUGAGCUGGUUCUCAUCCACCUGUGUUUCUUGCCAUUCGUUGCUUGGUUUACUACUUUUUAAUACUUGGAAAGUGUCUCUUCUGAGCAGGUGACGUGCUAGGCAUGACUCUCAUGCACCCGCAUUUGCUUGCUGUCUAGAGAAGAACCAGACACAUCAGCCACCAAGGGCAGUGGGGCUCCAGUGUGGGUGGGAGUGAGGGAGGAGAGGUGUGAGGGUGUGGGGGUGAGGGUCAGCUCUGCUGGGGCAGGAAAACAUUCCCACGGUGGUGACUCUAGUGGAAUCCUGAGCGAUGAGGUGAUCCCUGGCCGAUGAGAUGGAGAAGGGUGGAGAUGGGCAUGGGGGCAGCACAGGUGCAGGGAGAGGAGCAGGGAUGGAGCCUGCUGUGCUGUCCCUGCAGGGACCACAGUCAAAGCGUAUUCUGGAUGAAUGGUGCGCCUGCCAGGUGCAGACCGUGGCGCCCUGGGAAGAGUCGGAGCACAGAGCAUCUUCUUUGUCUGUGUCUUUGAAUUUAAGACUUUGUUCCGAAAGCCACAGAGAACGAGUGAGUCAUCAUGAGCCUGGGACAGCCUGGCUUCAGGCUUAGUGGCUGACUGUUUCUAUGGGAGUAGCAGUGCAAAAGUUGAAGUUGAUAGAGAAAGAUUUGGGGCAAGGUGAUCAAGGCUGUGACUAUGGAAAUUGUGACAGUCUAUGAGGGGCUCAUCCAAGGCAGAAGCAGUAAGGAGAGAUGGAUGGAGGGAGAAUCUAUAGGACUGGGUGGAUGAUGGUAGCCCUGGAGGGGGCUGUGAGGUGGAGCAAUGGACUCCUGGAGUCCAAGGAGGCCGUGGGACCCCAGAUGAAACACAGGAGGAAGUCCAGUAGAGAGGACAGGAGAUCCAAGGGGGCGCUGUUGCUUGCCAUGCCCAUUCCAGUGCACCUGGAGUAGUGUGGGGCG